GGAAGAGAAGUUGACCUCCCUGGGAUGUCGUCACUUCAUUAUUGGCUGCACCUGCAUAAUCAUGUGAUGCGAUACAUUUUUCAAAGACGUUUUUCAAGACACAGGAGAGGUCGGGUUGAAACAUUACUGAUGUUUCACGUUAAAAAUGGCUCUAAAGAUUAAUGCUAAACAACGUUUGACAUGUUUGAACGAACGUAAAUAGAUGAUUUUUUUUACUUUUCGCCGUGACUCCCCCCCCCCCGCGCUACUUUUUAGUAGCCUACCGAAGCGCUAACAACUUGGAGUUAUUGGGACAUCAAUUAUGAACUUUGUUGAAAGAAACCACAUUUGCAGUGGACCUGGGAUGCCUGGAAUUGCCAAUGGAUGAAGAUAAUCAAAGUCCUAGGUUAUCUGGGUGACAAUACCGGUCCUCUGUCACAGAGCCUGACCUGCAUCUGGAGCUGAAGUGUCGUCUGGAGUACGGUACUGGGGCUUGCAUCCUGAAUGACACCACACUAUUCCCCUAUGUAGUGCACUACUUUUGACCAGGAUCCAUAGGGCAGUAUAUAGUAAAUAGGAAGUCAUUUCAGGAACAGCCUAGGUCUGUCUGCAUGGUGGAACAGCCAUUACCUGACUUCUCCUGGAUCCUGUCCUUCCAUGAAACGGAGCCACUCACUAAGUGCUGCUGUUUUCUGGGUAAGAGGUUGUUAUAUAUCAUUCCCAGUCAACCGUUGUAGCAUGUCAGGGGUGGCAUAUGCACUACCUCUCACUACCGCUUCAAUCAGAACAGAUGGAGUGAUGGAAUAGAUGAGUAG
rnacentral:lncRNA from 1 species